CAAUAGCGUAUAUUUAAGUUGUUGCAGUUAAAAAGCUCGUAGUUGGAUUUCGGGUGUGAGCGACCGGUCCGUCUUUGAUGUGUACUGGUUGGUUGCGCCUUAUUGUCGAGGACGUGGUUCUAGCUUUCAUUAGCCGGGACACGGAGUCGGCAGCGUUACUUUGAGAAAAUUAGAGUGUUCAAAGCAGGCUAUCGCUCUGAAUACUACAGCAUGGAAUAACACGAUAGGACUCCGAGCCUAUUCUGUUGGUCUUCGGGACCGGAGUAAUGAUUAAGAGGGACAGUUGGGGGCAUUCGUAUUCCGAUGUCAGAGGUGAAAUUCUUGGAUUAUCGGAAGACGAGCAUCUGCGAAAGCAUUUGCCAAGGAUGUUUUCAUUAA
rnacentral:rRNA from 1 species